GAUGAACGCUGGCGGCGUGCCUAAUACAUGCAAGUCGAGCGAACAGACGAGGAGCUUGCUCCUCUGAUGUUAGCGGCGGACGGGUGAGUAACACGUAGAUAACCUACCUAUAAGACUGGGAUAACUUCGGGAAACCGGAGCUAAUACCGGAUAAUAUUUUGAACCGCAUGGUUCAACAGUGAAAGACGGUCUUGCUGUCACUUAUAGAUGGAUCCGCGCCGCAUUAGCUAGUUGGUAAGGUAACGGCUUACCAAGGCAACGAUGCGUAGCCGACCUGAGAGGGUGAUCGGCCACACUGGAACUGAGACACGGUCCAGACUCCUACGGGAGGCAGCAGUAGGGAAUCUUCCGCAAUGGGCGAAAGCCUGACGGAGCAACGCCGCGUGAGUGAUGAAGGUCUUCGGAUCGUAAAACUCUGUUAUUAGGGAAGAACAAAUGUGUAAGUAACUGUGCACGUCUUGACGGUACCUAAUCAGAAAGCCACGGCUAACUACGUG
rnacentral:rRNA from 1 species